rnacentral:tRNA from 1 species
GGUCCCUUAGUUUAAUGGAUAGAAUGCAAGAUUCCGGUUCUUGUGAUGGAGGUUCGAAUCCUCCAGGGAUCG